UGGGGUGUAGUUAACUGGUAGAACACUUGCCUACCAUGUAUAAGGCUCUAUGUUCAAUUCCUAGUACCAUAA
rnacentral:tRNA from 1 species